UCCAAUGAACAGAGUAAAAAUGAAUAACAAUUCAUCAUAGGAUUUCAAACAGGUGCCUAAUGCCUUUUAGCACAGAAACGGAUGGUUGCAGGAGCUUGCGGAGGAUAGAGGAGGGUGAAAGGGGUUUUGGUGUACUCUGUGACCGCCUCCAGUGCUUCAUGCCGGUCGGAUGACUGAGCGCUGCUGACGCGAUCGGUGCAGGAGGAGGACAGAGCAGAUGCCAUGUGAAAAAGAGAGUGGGAGGAUAAGUACAAAGUGCACAUGGCCAAGACGCCACAAGCACAUGGGAUCCUGAACGUAAUGAAAAGCAAUGAUAAGGCCGGGCCUCGUCAACAAACACAGUUACUGGGGGACGGGGGGGGUCAAGAAGAGAGAAAGUCGUACAGGUUGGGAACAACAUGGUGGACCAAUGUUUGAAAGAAAACUCCGGUUUGGUUUCUCUGCCACCAAGUCUCAAGGCUAUCCCACAGAACCCAGGACUGGAUCUGAGCCAGGCCGUUUUUAAUGUCUGAAAUUUGGGAUGAAAUCGAAACAAACAAAGACAGCCCUGGUGCGGGCCUCCUAAAGUUAUGCAAGUCUAAGAGAGUAACAGCCCAAUAAAAAAAAUAGUAGAAACUUAUGUAAAGCUCUCAAUUAUUGUUGCCAUGCCCAGUGAAGAGGGGAUGUGGAGCUCUUCAACUAGAGCUGAAUGACUCCUGACGUUUCAUUGAACGAGGGACAUUUGUGUCCACAGUUUAAAGCAAGACACUAAACAGUAAAAUAUGCAAUUAAAUAUUUUACCAGAUCAAAAUCACAAUGUAACAGAAGGAAGAACAUUAAUGUGAAACAGAUUGUCAGAAAAAAAAAUGUAGGGUUCAAUCAAUCAGUUGAUUGCUUGAAUAGAGGCAGAUCUAUACAAACGUAUAAUUUACUAAGUGGACAA